UACGUAGGGUGCAAGCGUUAAUCGGAAUUACUGGGCGUAAAGCGUGCGCAGGCGGUUAUGUAAGACAGAUGUGAAAUCCCCCCGGCUUAAACCUGGGGAACUGCGUCUGAUACUGGACGGCUUUGAGUAUGGGAGAGGAACGUAGAAUUCCAGGUGUAGCGGUGAAAUGCGUAGAUAUCUGGAGGAACACCGGUGGCGAAGGCGGCAUCCUGGACCGGUAUUGACGCUGAGGCGCGAAAGCGUGGGGAGCAAACAGG
rnacentral:rRNA from 1 species